GAUGAACGCUGGCGGCGUGCUUAACACAUGCAAGUCGAACGAUGAAGCCAGCUUGCUGGUGGAUUAGUGGCGAACGGGUGAGUAACACGUGAGUAACCUGCCCUUAACUCUGGGAUAAGCCUGGGAAACUGGGUCUAAUACCGGAUAUGACUUCCCAUCGCAUGGUGGGGGGUGGAAAGCUUGUGUGGUUUUGGAUGGACUCGCGGCCUAUCAGCUUGUUGGUGAGGUAAUGGCUCACCAAGGCGACGACGGGUAGCCGGCCUGAGAGGGUGACCGGCCACACUGGGACUGAGACACGGCCCAGACUCCUACGGGAGGCAGCAGUGGGGAAUAUUGCACAAUGGGCGGAAGCCUGAUGCAGCGACGCCGCGUGAGGGAUGACGGCCUUCGGGUUGUAAACCUCUUUCAGUAGGGAAGAAGCGUAAGUGACGGUACCUGCAGAAGAAGCGCCGGCUAACUACGUGCCAGCAGCCGCCGUAA
rnacentral:rRNA from 1 species